UUGAACGCUGGCGGCAUGCUUUACACAUGCAAGUCGAACGGCAGCGCGGGCUUCGGCCUGGCGGCGAGUGGCGAACGGGUGAGUAAUACAUCGGAACGUGCCCAGUAGUGGGGGAUAGCUCGGCGAAAGCCGGAUUAAUACCGCAUACGACCUGAGGGUGAAAGCGGGGGAUCUUCGGACCUCGCGCUAUUGGAGCGGCCGAUGGCAGAUUAGCUAGUUGGUGGGGUAAAGGCCUACCAAGGCGACGAUCUGUAGCUGGUCUGAGAGGACGACCAGCCACACUGGGACUGAGACACGGCCCAGACUCCUACGGGAGGCAGCAGUGGGGAAUUUUGGACAAUGGGCGAAAGCCUGAUCCAGCAAUGCCGCGUGUGUGAUGAAGGCCUUCGGGUUGUAAAGCACUUUUGGCGGGAACGAAAAGGACUGUACCAAUACCACGGUUCGAUGACGGUACCCGCAGAAUAAGCACCGGCUAACUACGUG
rnacentral:rRNA from 1 species